rnacentral:rRNA from 1 species
AUUGAACGCUGGCGGCAGGCCUACCACAUGCAAGUCGAACGAGUGGCGGACGGGUGAGUAAUGUCUGGGAAACUGCCUGACGGAGGGGGAUAACUACUGGAAACGGUAGCUAAUCCCGCAUAACAUCAGAUGUACCCAGAUGUGAUUAGCUUGUUGGGUGGGGAACGGCUCACCAAGGCGACGAUCCCUAGCUGGUCUGAGAGGGUGACCGGACAACAUGGAACUGAGACACGGUCCAGACUCCUACGGGAGGCAGCAGUGGGGAAUAUUGCACAAUGGGCGAAAGCCUGAUGCAGCCAUGCCGCGUGUAUGAAGAAGGCCUUCGGGUUGUAAAGUACUUUCAGCGGGGAGGCGUUACCCGCAGAAGAAGCACCGGCUAACUCCGUGCAAGCAGCCGCGGUAAUUC